UACGUAGGGAGCAAGCGUUGUCCGGAAUCAUUGGGCGUAAAGCGCGCGUAGGUGGCCUCGUAAGUCCGCUGUGAAAGUCGGGGGCUCAACCCUCGAAUGCCGGUGGAUACUGUCGGGCUAGAGUGCGGAAGAGGCGAGUGGAAUUCCUGGUGUAGCGGUGAAAUGCGCAGAUAUCAGGAGGAACACCUAUUGCGAAGGCAGCUCGCUGGGACGUAACUGACGCUGAGACGCGAAAGCGUGGGGAGCAAACAGG
rnacentral:rRNA from 1 species